UCUGCAUCGAGUGAAAACGAUAGAGCACUAGGAAAGAAUAAAACUUUUUUCCUGUUGUGUAUAACAUGGAUAUAUAUCCCUAUUUUAUUCUAUGAUUUUGAACGUUUUACAGUUUCAUUUAGAAAUUAAUCUAAAUUAUUUCAUAAAGAUAUUUCUAUAAAAUGAAAACAGAACUGUUUACUGACACCAAUCAUAUUAGUGACAUAUGGAAGUCCCACGAGUCAGUUUUGUUUCCAUUAUGUAGCUGCAGUAAUUUAUAAUAUUUUAGUAUAUACAAUUGGUAUGUAAAACUGCAUACAGAAAGAGAUCCAGAAAUUCGUUGGGGGGAGGGGGGGGGCUUUAAAUCCGCGACUGGCAUCUAAGAUUUUUUAUUUAUCUGAAUUUCAGCUGAAUUAUCUAUCUUAUGAAUUUUGGUUUAUCUGAAUUUCAACUGAAUUGAUAGAACAUGUUAUAUGAAAUAUUGACAAGUCCAGAUAGUCAAUUUGCAUUUUAGUGUGCAUAAUCGACAUUUUUUGUGUGACAAUGACUACAAUGUUAAUUUGUUAAUCUUUUAGAUAUAAAAAGGGCAAACAACACAGCUGGAUAAAGCAUCCUAAGUCUGCACCUCGUAAAGCUAUGACAAUGAGAGAAAUGUAUCCACCCAGGCAAUCAGAAUAUAGAGUGCAACCCAGAUGGUGUGCUGCAGCUCAAAGAGAGUCAUGGUUAUUGGCAUCAAGUUUUCCAUCAGCUUUACCUCACAGGCACCAACUUGUGAUUUCAUAGUUUGAACACCAAUGAACAUGGAAGUGAUUCUCAUCCUUCGAGAUGAAUUAUGGGAAUUAUACUUGACAUACAUGGUUGAGCCUUUGUGCCUUCUCUGCAAUAACCAUCUAGACAGACUUGUGAAAAUGCAAAUGUCUUCCAUUAAUUUUAUUUUGUUUUUGCUACAAAUGAUCAGUGUGAAGAUGUGCAUGAAUCACCAUUGUAACAAUUUCUUUGACUAGCAACCUUAAAUAAAUGUUCACUUUAUCAUUUACUUGAAUGCAUUUAAUACAACUUGACAAUGCAGAAUAAUGUGAGUAAGAUGUUGUACAUUUAUAGUACCUAAGUCCAAAGGUAAGAUUUAAUAAAUUAGCUAUUUCCUUCAGUAGAGGAUUUGCAAAUGUACAAGAGUCACACAGAGUUGAAAAUCUUAGUGGACAGAUAUAUAUGUCUGUAUUGUGAAGGUAUAUGAUUUAGAAUAUGGAUGUUUUUAAUUAUUAAACUGCACACUCCACAUGAA